UGCGCGUGUGUGCACGAGUGUGAGCGCCCAGGCAGUUGGGAGCGCGCGUUAGGGAUUCUGCUGGCAUCGCAGUGUGGAGAACUGGAGGCAGGAGCGGGGCGCGCAGGGGAGCGCGGGGCCCUCCCGUGCACACGCACACGCACCGCGCGCGCGCACACACACACACACAUACACAUACACACAUACAUACACUCGCGCACACGCCCUCCCUGCCUCGCUCGUUGCCGCGGCCACCAUCUCAGAGUCGAGCCCUGCGUAGCGGGAACCCGAGCCGGAGCGGGAACCAGAGAGGAGCCCAGCGGGGGAAUGCGGCCCCGGAGCGGAGCUGCGCGCCGACUGCGCGCCCUGGACGCCUCCUGCCCUCACAGGCCCUGAGACCCCCGAGCCCACAGGCAAAGAGAGAGAUCGCCAGGCCCCCUCCCAGUUACACUCCCUACAAGCCCAUCUGACCUGAGGUGUCCCUCUGAAGAGUCCCUGAGCCUGCUUGCACCCCCUAGAGGUAAGCAGUGGACGUCUGGGGUGGUGGGUGAGGAGAAGACCGGAGG
rnacentral:lncRNA from 1 species